CAUAUAUACAUAGUAAAAAAAAUGGUAAAACCACAUUCAUGAUAUAAUGAGACUACGUCCAGCCCACUUAUCACACGUUGAAAAAAAUCUGAGGCGAACUGUAUAGUUUUUACAUCUCAUGUGCACCAAAAAUAAUUGUAUCUUUUUUCUAAAUUCACUAAUACCCUUUAAAGACGUGAAUUUGCAAAUCGAGACAGAAAAGAGUUUGGAUGAUUUUAAACAAAGUUGCCUAGGAGACAGUGACGCCGCCAUUCAAACCGCGCAGCAUGGCAUCUUGGGAUACCUUUUUUCCCCCCCAUCAUGGCCGAAGAGUUGGUUGGUAACGUUAACGAGUAGCAUCAGAGGCUGUGUACGAUUGUUUGGUGCAUCACAUUUUAGGACAACGGCAGUCUGGCAUUAGAGUCACCGAAUAUACGCUAGUCUGUAGUGUGAAGUUGAGGAAGCAGGACAGUAACAUAGAGAGAGACGUUAUCUGGGACAUCGGCACAAUGGAGUGUGCAGUGGACAUACCAUCAGGUGAGGAUGAGGCACCUGAGAAAGAUGACUUGAAUGCCAAGGCAGCAAAUGAGCUGCCCCACAAGAAAAACAAAAAGCACAGAAAACACAAGAGCAAGAAGAAGAAGAGGAGAAGAAAGGGGGAAAAGGAGAGUAGUUCGGAAUCUGGUGCAGACUCUGACAUUGAACCACCACCUCCACCAAGACCUGUCAGGACCACCAGAGCCAGUGCCAGACUAGCAGCAGCUGCAGGCGCAGUAGACCAUGCUGGGCUAAAGGAGGAGAGUAAAAGGGAUGUGAGUACAGACCAUGUGGAUCAUGGGGAUGUAGAUGCAAAAUCCAAAAAACACAAAAGACAUGCUGCCAAGAAGAAGAAAAAGAAGAAGAAGAAAGAUGAAAAACCAGAAAGAAAAUCUCCAUCUCACUCCCCAUCUGAGAGCAGCUCAGCCUCAGGUUCAGAGUCUGAAGGUCAAGGAGGGAAAGGGUCUGGUGAUGGGAAAUACUCUCCAGCCACUGCAUCUGUCCCUCAGGAACCAGUACACAAACUUGGUUCAAAAAGUAAACGAGGGGAAGACAAGGAGGUUCCCAUCAAUACACAAAAACCUGAAUUGCCUGGAGUCAAGAAAGAAGAGAUGUUAGAUAUGGAUGUGUCCCUGAAUGAUGUGAAAAGCAAUAAUACCAAUGGUUCAGAAAAGGACAUCGGGUUGCUUCCUGCAGGGAAUCCAGAUGAGAUAACACAGCCAUUAAGUGCAAGGGUUAAGACAGAAGGCAAUCAUGGAGAUGGUGCAUUCAGUCAUGCCCAGGAGCUGCCUGAUAUCAUCCCAAAACAGGAAGGCGCUACCUCAAGAGAUGACCAAGGCUUGAAAGAUCAAGUUAAUUUAGCUGAGAAGGCAAAGGUCAGGGAACAUGAUGCACCCAGAUCUCCUUCCCCUCCCAGAGAGUUUCACAUUAAGAGAUCUGGCUCAAGUCAUAGUCCGUCACCAACACCUACUCCCGGUACACAGCAGUCAGCUCAGACAGCAACAUCUGUUAACGAAUUCACAAAUUCCAUGUCAUCACAGAAGUCCGCACCUACACCUGUAUUGGGUCAAGAGCUUUCCUGUUCUCAGUCUCCUAAAUCUCCAGGAAAGUCAUUUUCUCCUCCCCCUAAGUCUUUUGAGAAAGUCAGCAGUCAGUCCCUUUCCACAUCUCCUCUUACCGCCAAGAAGAAAGCUCCAGUGUCUCCAAGAAAGUCCAGAUCUCCUAAACGGCGGAGCAAGUCUUUGUCUGUUUCCCCAAAAAGACAGCAUGGGUCUAUUUCUUCUAGGAGAAAGGUGUCACGAUCUCCUAAACGCAGUGGUCACAAGUCUCCCUCUCUGUCUCGGUCUCCAAAAAGAAGUCGAAGGUCAAAAUCACGUUCUCAUGGAGGCACAAAGCGCUCCAGGACCCGUUCCCCAAAACGAGGUGCAGCUGGCAGGCGCUCACGAUCACGUUCGGCCAAUAGAACUCGCCGCUCUCAUUCUAGGACCAGACGCCCCGCUCGCCGUUCUAGGUCACGAUCAGCAGCAAGACGUGCACGUGGAAGGCGCUCCAAAAGUCGAUCCCCGUCUCGACGGAGGAGGACUCCGCCCCCUAGAUCUCGUCGCUCACGUUCUCGGUCAAUCCGCAGGAGUAGGAGCAGCCGACGGUCUAGAUCGAGAAGUACUCGCAAACGGACCAAGUCCAGGACCCCUCCCAUGCGGCGGAGGACUAAAUCCAGAUCCCCAGUCAGAAGGCGUUCUCGGUCCACUGCUAGGAGAAAUCGUUCUCCACCAAGGUCUAGAAAACACUCCAAAUCCCGUUCUUUGUCUCGUCGACGUCGUUCAAAAUCACACUCGCCUCUACCCAGCAAGAAGAGAUCUAAAUCUCCCAAGAAAAGUGGAAGAAGAUCAAAAUCUAAAUCUUUCUCUGAGGGAAUGAACAGAUCAAAGUCCAGGUCCAAAUCCGUGUCAAGUGAUGGACAUUCAGACGCAUCUUCCCCACUUGGAUCCCCAUCAUCGUCGCCUGUGAAAACAGACCAACCUAAGGUGGAAGAGACACCUCAAGACAGUGAAGUUAUAGCUACCACAGCUACCACAGGCUGUUGGAAACCUGUGUUCAUGGCCCCGGCAUCAAGCCCUCAAGUUGAAGCUUCUUCAGAGCAAUUGCAGGAAGAGCUUCCUCCCACUGACGAGGAGCAGGCGGAGCAGGCGGAGCAGGCGGAGCAAGCGGAGCAGGCGGAGCAAGCGGAGCAGGCGGAGCAGGCGGAGCAGGCGGAGCAGGCGGAGCAGGCGGAGCAAGCGGAGCAGGCGGAGCAGGCGGAGCAGGCGGAGCAGACCGUCUUACCUAAUGAACAAGAAGAGGUUUUCAGGUCGAGGUCUGCUUCCCAAGAGCCUAACCCAAAUGGGUCAGAAUGCUCAGAAGGUUCAGACAAAGAGAAGGAUUGUUCCUCACCAGUUAAAACAACUACAUGUCAGAGAAGCUCAGUUUCAGCAUCUCCAGAAGUGCAGAAGAAACAGCUGUCCAAGUCAAGGUCUCCAGAUCGCAAGAAACCUUCACGCUCACCGUCUCCUCACCGAUCAGCAUCCAAGUCUAAAUCCAGGAAGAAGCUGUCCAGGUCUAAAUCUCCUGCAAGGAAACGAGAAUCUGUCUCUCCAUCUGAAAGGAAAAAGCGGCGAUCAAAAUCUCGGAGUCCUGCCCGGCGGAGGCGGUCACGUUCACGUUCCACCACACGUCGCAAACGUUCAAGUUCCAAAGCACGAGGCAAAAUUCGCCGCUCGAAGUCUCGCUCUCCAGCCCGUAAGAGGCGAUCCCGGAGCCGCUCACCCAAUGCUCGAGGGAGGAGGAGGUCCAAAUCUGUGGAUAGGAGUAAAAGAUCCAAGAGUCGCUCAGCAGGCCGGAGGAAAAGAUCCAGGUCAGGAGAUAAAAGCAGACGAUCCAGAUCUCGUUCUUCCGAUCGAAGACGCAGGUCUAGGUCGAGGGGGCGAGGGAGGCGCCCAGUCUUUCGCAGUCGAUCCUUCGAUAGACGGGACAGGUGGAAGAGGGAACCCAGUCAUUCUCCGGUUCUUAUCCUGCGCAAGCAGCGUCGCUCAGGGUCCCGUGCUCGACGCAGCACCAGCAAGACUCCCCCACGGCUCACUGAACUGGAUAAAGACCAGUUGCUGGAAAUAGCAAAGGCUAAUGCUGCUGCCAUGUGUGCUAAAGCGGGGGUUCCUAUUCCUGAGAGUCUUCGCCCUAAAGCCAUCCUCCAGCUCCCUCUGCCUACUCCAUCUCCUGCUCCCCUUUCUUUACCCCUACCUUUACCUCUUCCCAUGGGUAUGGGGAUGCCCACUAUGUCUAACAUGGGUCCAAUGGGAUUACCCAAUAUUCCAGGAAUGCCCAGCAUGUCAAAUAUCACAAUGAGUGCUGCUAUGGCAAGCAUGACAGCAGCUACUAUGACAGCUGCCUUGACCAACAUGGGUGCCCUGGCAGCAAUGCCUCCCCUUGCCCCACUUCCCACUAUCACCAACAAGCCUCCCCCGUGCCUCGCUCCUCCAGCCCCAUCGCUUAACCUGGACCACAUUGAAGAAGCAAAAAGGAAGGUGACUCAGCAAGCAAACAUACACACCAUCAAGGAGCUCACUGAGAAGUGUAAGAUGAUUGCAAAUAGCAAAGAGGAGAUGGCCAUUGCGAAACCCCAUGUCUCAGAUGAUGAAAGUUAAAACGCCAAGCCCUCAUGGACUGAAGGAAAGUUUUGCAGGAGGUCCUCCUUGCCAGUUUCCUUUGGCAGCCAGAAAACCUGGUGGUUCGUGAGGCUCAGCCAAGAACAAGAGAGCACCCUAGUUGUCACAACAAUUAAAUUGGAUCACUGGCACCAGCCACUGCCCCACUCUCUCUGUUUUUAAUUGUGAGAGAGCCAGCAACUAGCAGACUGUCACCUGUGAUGCCACUGAAAUAACUGGACUCAGAUUUGUGCGCCAUUGAAUUACUGAACAGCGAGUACAAUAAGGGUGAGUUUGUGUAUAUAAUGACUUUGAACACCAACUUGUCAGCGCUGAUUGUUCAGCAGUCAUCGUUGUAAAGACUGAGAGAAAACAAACCAAACUAACUAGGGGCGCAGGUGUUUUUGUAAAAGAUUAGUUUCUCUAAGAUUGUUUUAAUUUUAUGUUUUCUUAAAGAUUGUGUUAAGUUCAGACUGUGUCCAUGUUCUGCUGUAUUCCCUCAGUUAAUUGUAGUCCCUGAUUUUAUAAACAAAUUAUAUAGACAAAGGUUAUGGUAGAUCCUUGCAUGUGAUGUUUUCACAGGCCUGGUUCUCCAGGACAAGAAAUGGUAGCUGUUGUAAAUCCUGAACCUGGUCACCACAUCUGAUUACUUUGAAGCAACAGAAUGAUACUGGCCACAAAAAGUGGUUUGUAUUUUAACAGAGGUUACUGUCUCCACUCACAUAACCUAGAUAAUUUGGUUAGUACAGCCCUGGGUGUGAGUUCUUUCUAUUUCAAAUGGCACCAAGAAAAUCUUUGACUCCGACUCAGCCUUUCAUUUGGGAUUUGUAGGGAGAUAUUUUUUUUUUUCUGAACUAGUAAACGCGUUUGCUGAAUUUUUAAAUUUAAUAUAGUUAUAACAGCAGUGUCAUAACAUGCAUCAACAUGUGUUUUGCAAAUGACUGUAAAGUAUCAUUUAAGAUGCAGGGAAAGCAUUAGUAAGUCCUUUGAAUAGUUAAUAACAUUUUAAAAGUACAA
ensembl:lncRNA serine/arginine repetitive matrix protein 2-like